rnacentral:rRNA from 1 species
UGAGGAACAUGACCUUCGGCGGGGGAGUAACCGGCCCAACGGCCGGGUAACACCGCGUACGACCACAUGGGGACAUCCCUGAGUGGUGAAAGCAGCAAUGCGCCGAUGGAGUGCCUCGCGGCCUAUCAGCUUGUUGGUGAGGUAAUGGCUCACCAAGGCGACGACGGGUAGCCGGCCUGAGAGGGUGACCGGCCACACUGGGACUGAGACACGGCCCAGACUCCUACGGGAGGNACGCG